AGUGAACGCUGGCGGUAGGCCUAACACAUGCAAGUCGAACGGCAGCACAGUAAGAGCUUGCCCUUACGGGUGGCGAGUGGCGGACGGGUGAGGCAUACAUCGGAAUCUACUUUUUCGGGGGGGAUAACGUAGGGAAACUUACGCUAAUACCGCAUACGACCUACGGGUGAAAGCAGGGGAUCUUCGGACCUUGCGCGAUUGAAUGAGCCGAUGUCGGAUUAGCUAGUUGGCGGGGUAAAGGCCCACCAAGGCGACGAUCCGUAGCUGGUCUGAGAGGAUGAUCAGCCACACUGGAACUGAGACACGGUCCAGACUCCUACGGGAGGCAGCAGUGGGGAAUAUUGGACAAUGGGCGCAAGCCUGAUCCAGCCAUACCGCGUGGGUGAAGAAGGCCUUCGGGUUGUAAAGCCCUUUUGUUGGGAAAGAAAAGCAGCAUGUUAAUCCCCCGCUGUUCUGACGGUACCCAAAGAAUAAGCACCGGCUAACUUCGUG
rnacentral:rRNA from 1 species